AUUGAACGCUGGCGGCAUGCCUUACACAUGCAAGUCGAACGGUAACAGGUCUUCGGAUGCUGUCGAGUGGCGGACGGGUGAGUAAUACAUCGGAACGUGCCCAGACGUGGGGGGUAACGAGGCGAAAGCUUUGCUAAUACCGCAUACGAUCUAAGGAUGAAAGCAGGGGACCGCAAGGACUUGCGCGUUUGGAGCGGCCGAUGGCAGAUUAGGUAGUUGGUGGGGUAAAAGCUUACCAAGCCGACGAUCUGUAGCUGGUACGAGAGGGAGACCAGCCACACUGGGACUGAGGCACGGCCAAGACUCCUACGGGAGGCAGCAGUGGGGAAUUUUGGACGAUGGGGGGAAGCAUGAUCGAGCAAUGCCGCGUGCAGGAUGAAGGCCUUCGGGUUGUAAAAUGCUUUUGUACGGAACGAAAAGGCUCUGGCUAAUACCAGGGGAACGUGACGGUACCGGAAGAAUAAGCACCGGCUAACUACGUG
rnacentral:rRNA from 1 species